UACUAGUCUCUGAGAAAAAUGAACCCACAGCCCAUUAUCUAUCACAGAUGCCAUGUUUUCCCACUGGGGAUAUGUGUGCUUCUGAUGAUACACUGAGCUUACCAAGAAUAGGCAAAGUCAAGAUAAAUGUGCAGCAUCUUUAUUGGAAGAAUGUGAGAGGAAUUAUGUUCAAAUUAAAAUUAAAUAUGCAGAAUUAACAUGAUUUUUCAAAAUCAGAUGGGAGACAUUAAAUGUUACUUUCUCAAUGAGUAACUUUAUGGAAUGACCCUGUAUUCCUAGGAGAGAUAACUGUAACAGCUCACAUUUAUCCAGAGAGCUCUUAGUACAUGCUAGACAUUAUCUAAUUUAGUUAUCACACUAGCCCUAUGAUCUACUUGUUAUGACUUCCAUUGUACAGAUGAGGAGACUGAGAAAUUGGAUAACUUGCUCAAGAUCAAUCACACAGCUAGUAAAUGGUAAAAUGCUAACAAUACUAAGUACUAAAUCUCCUCCCUAUAUAUGCAACAUUUGCUUUAGUUUUAAUUAUAUAGCUCUAUAUGUUCAUUAAUUUUGAAAAUGAAACCCUAUAGUAUUAUACAAAGUUAGAAGAAAAAAGUUUCCAUCUUCCUCAACUUUUCUAUUUUGUUGCUAGUUUCUUCUUGUAUAUGAGCCUGGUAGUAGUGUGUAUGGACAUUGAUCAAAUUUUCAAAGCUUGGACUCUUAAUCUCUAUGUUGUGUGGUUGAAAAAGCUCAGAAGCAUGUACAUAAAUUUUGCCAAAAAAAUCUGUCCAAUAUUUAAUUUAGACCCCACUUAAAUCAUAUUCUUACUGGGUGCACGUGUCCAAUCCCUUUGUUGGAGUAUAACUCUUUAAAAGUUAGAAAUAUAAUACACACUCUCAAAUAUAUAGUGGGUAUGUCAAGGAUUUCCCCUAACUCAGUAAUAAGGUACACAACAGGAUGACAAAAUUGGUUCAAAAGAGGUGUAUUUAGUCAGUUA